rnacentral:rRNA from 1 species
UACGGGGGGAGCAAACGUUGUCCGGAUUUAUUGGGCGUAAAGAGCGUGUAGGCGGCCAUACAGGUCCGUUGUGAAAACUCGAGGCUUAACCUCGAGACGUCGAUGGAAACCGUAUGGCUAGAGUCCGGAAGAGGAGAGUGGAAUUCCUGGUGUAGCGGUGAAAUGCGCAGAUAUCAGGAAGAACACCCGUGGCGAAGGCGGCUCUCUGGGACGGUACUGACGCUGAGACGCGAAAGCGUGGGGAGCGAACAGG